UCGGGGGUGUUCUCACUCUUGCAGUACCUGAACACGGUGAUUCCCUACGAGAAGAAGGGCUCGCCGCCCUCCGUCGAGGACCUGCAGAUGCUCACCAACAUCCUCUUCGCCAUGAAGGAGGGGAACGAGAAGGUGCCCACCCUGCUGACCGACUACAUCCUCAAAGUUCUCUGCCCGACCUGAUGCGGCGGCGCCGAAAUUGGGGCCAAACCCGAGGAAAACGGGUCACUGCCCGACG